GCCUGGGUGGCUCAGUCGGUUAAGCGUCUGACUUCAGCUCAGGUCAAGAUCUCUCGGCUUGUGAGUUCGAGCCCCGCGUCAGGCU
rfam:Felis catus isolate Cinnamon breed Abyssinian chromosome D1, whole genome shotgun sequence.